rnacentral:misc_RNA from 1 species
UUUUUUACCUAUCCUUUAAUUCAGUAGGCUUUUCAUUUUUAGAGAUCUUUGUCACUUGAGCGUCCAACUGCAUGAAUAUUUGUUGGACACAUAUUACAUGUCGUGUCUUGUGUCGUGUCGACAUGAGUAUGGCAGGGCAUAAUGAAGAGUCAGAGUAUUAGAGCCAUUAGCCAUAUUCCAACACCCACCAAGUGCAACAGUGUUUGGUUCAAACUUCAUAGGCUCAGUUGUCACGUGGCAUUGCAUGAGGUGGCCCAUCUAACUUGGAUUUGGCUCCUCUUGGCUCUGCCCUCAAGGUCUAGCUCAUUGGAUUAGCCGAUGGAUCCACCUAAGGUUGGUUCGAUUAGCUUAGCUCAUGCUUUUGUUGGAAUAUAUGCCUUGUGGGAACAAGUCCCUCAUCGGCAGUUUACAAGACAAUUAAAGGGUAUAUAUGUAUUGGCAAACUAAACAAAGAUGGCUUAGGCCAUUUUGGUGAUGAGGAGUCUAGUUGUGAGCCCAAUUCAGUGCGUAUACUGCAGCAUGCCAAUUUGAUAUUCACACUCCUAGGUCCGUAUAAUUUUUAACAGAUUUAUGCUAUCAGGACAACUUUCCUGUCAAACUUACUUCUCUAGUCAUUGUCUGUCUACAAUAGCACUGGAGCUUUGAGAUGUCAAGUGAAUGAUGUUUUGUUGUUAACCUAUUUUUCAGCCUAUGCCGCUAUUAUUCUGUUUGUUCAUCAUUUGUGUAUUUCUUCCCAAUUUGUUAUGAAUAUGUUGGUGUUUGCUUGAUUUUUGGCCUGGUGUUUUCUAUUAUCUGUUGCCAGACAUGCAAGAUUCUGAUGUUCAAGUUUCUUAUCCUGCAGUUUUAUAGACCUUCCAAA